UACGUAAGUGGCGAGCGUUAUCCGGAAUUACUGGGCGUAAAGCGUGCGUAGGCGGUUUAGUGUGUGGGAAUUGAAAGCCCGGGGCUCAACUCCGGAUCCGGUUCCCAAACUGCUAGACUCGAGAGUAUCAGAGGAGAGCGGAAUUCCCGGUGUAGCGGUAAUAUGCGUAGAUAUCGGGAGGAACACCAGUGGCGAAGGCGGCUCUCUGGGGGUAUUUCUGACGCUGAGGCACGAAAGCCAGGGGAGCGAACGGGG
rnacentral:rRNA from 1 species